CCCACAAGGGCGGGGUUUGGGGCGGCUGGUCACGCGGGCUCGGGCGGAGGCGAGGGCGCGUGCCGAGUGAGCGCGAUCCCCUGGCUCUCUGAGGAUUUCAUACUCCGGCGGUGUCGUUAGUUGGCCGCUACGUUUUUGCUUCAGCCGUCACUCUACACCCUGUCAUCACAUUAGUGCCGUUUUGUCUGUGUUGGGUUUCGCCCAGUUACCUAAAGGAUUGUGAAGGAAAUCCUGCUUGUAACCAGCCCAGUGCCUUGCUUUGCUCUUGUUUAAGAAUUUUGUCUGUUGACACUAUUAGAAAGGCAAAGACUGGGAUACGUCACUCGAGCUCCGCUCUUUGCCCCCCCGACCCCAACCUCAUAAUAGCAUCGGGAGAAACUUUGCACGUUGAGCAGCACAAGGACCUUGUGCAUGAAACUGGUGUACUGAUCUGAAUAUGGGUACAAUCACUUGAACUGCAUUAGAUUGACCUGCAGGUGACAAAGUGGAUAAGGAUGCAGACUCUGGAAGUUAUGGGCUCAAAUGGCCCGAGAUCUUGCUCUUGGCUGAAGUGUUUGGUUAACACAGUUGUUGCUACAGAAGACAUUUGAGAUGACGAACAGUCUUCUUAAAAAGGCUUUAACACAGAGGGAAUGGUGUUAGCAAAACUGCAGGAGCUCUGCGCUUGAACAACAAAUCAGUGUGACGAGUGAUCAGGAAUCUCUUGAGAAGAAUGGGUGUUGAAAUUUGGAGAAUGAAUGAAGGAUGCAAGUGCUCCUCGGAAGGGGAUCUAAGUGCAGUCCCUGUUUGCAGCUCAAAGUCCAAGGGAAUGGAAGAAGGAAUUGCUCGUAUGCAGAAAGCCCUGAAGGGAGUGUGUGAUUGGCUUUAUGACCCAGCCUGAAGAGCCACGCCUUCUCCCGUCUGAUACCUCUGCAUCCUGCCUGGACACCUGACAGCAGAGCUCUGCAGGCUGCAGCGUGUGUCAUUGUCAGAAGGGUUCCUCCAGAUGUGAGGGCUUAUCAGAGCGUUCUGCUACACCGCAGGAGUUGUGUACUUAACUUAUCUGCGACUAACAGGAGCAGCGCUACAUGGCUUUAGCGGCGCGAGAAGUUCUGGAUCGAUAGAUAGCCAAGAUUUGGCAGCAGUGAAGAAUGCAACAGUUAAGUCCCUCUCUGUGAAGCAGCUUUUCCUUGUGAUCAAGGCUAUGACCGAAACCAAGAGUCUAGAAUUCACUAUAAUGAAAAAACACUGGCAGUGUGACGCUGUUCCCCAUAUUAAGAUUAACCUUUUUGACGUCAAUUGACAUCCUCACUUCCUUAUUUGUUAAAUUUGGAUAAACCCACUGUAAACAGGCGACACUUGAUGAGUUCCUUUAUUACACAAAGAUAUUGUGCCGUUUAGACCCUGGCUGGGGGGACUGAAAACCCCCCCAAGCCCAUUCUCUCAGCUCAUUUAUAAACUGCCAGCCAGAGAACAUAUGUAACAUCUUACCCACUCUUCAAAUGAAAUCAAUGUCUGAUCAAUCUUAACACAGGGGCCUGCAGGGGGUUACUGAGGUCAGCCACUGGGCUUUCAUCUUGGGCGUCCACUGGUCGCCGGUAUCUGGGGCUGUGGCUUGUUUCUGCUCGAUCCAGACAAAUUCAAUUAGUGGCGCCGUUUCCCCAGGGGGAGGGUAGAGGGUAGCACCUCCAUCUGGUUUCACUGGAAAUGCGACUUAAGGGGAGGAGCGGUAGAUGCAUCACCCAGACCCGCCAGGGCGCGGCAGAUACGGGCACGCACGCCAAACUCGGGGGCGUGCUCGCAUGAAAACGGGCACAAUUCGCUUAUGCUGCACCUCCAUAUAGACGGAAGACACUGAGGACUUUUCACUUGUAGCUGCAAAAUUAAACCAAGAAGAGUUUUAAUUUGUAAAACGCAAUGAUGGUAUUGAAGAGUUGAGAAUAGCUAGCAUAGUAUUUGCUGUGACGUACAGUAAGUCAUUUUGGAAAAACCUGAUUAAGAUGGUGAGUUUAUUUUCAGACCUGAGUUCAGUGGUUUCCUGCAGUGUUGCUUGCUCCCAAUGAAGUUUCACACUUAAACUCAGGUUUACUCAUUAUGGGACAAGGGAGCACCACACCCUCUUUUACAGUUACUCUGUCUGUUACCCUGACUCAGACUCAUCUGCCUGCUGUGACACAAGUUACUACUUAAUCCCCGUACCCCAAAAUAACAGCAUCUGUCACUCUGUCAGUCUGACAAUGUAAUGUAGCCAGUCACUGUUACCAGAUAUGUAAAUUUCAGACUUUUUAUAUAGUCCAAAUGUCUUAAUUAACUUCCACAAAUUUAUAUUCCAUCAUUCUUGUCUUGUUGGCAGCACAAUAGCUACAUAAUGGUCUACGACAGUUAACAAUAUUCCACAGGGUGGUCAUAUUGAAUUGCUGUUAGCCUCUUUUAAUACUUUUUUUCAACUGAGCCUUUGUACUUAUUUUUAUAUCACCAAAGCAUGUGAAGAGCACUUCCAGUUUUUGCUUUGUCAUGAUUGUGUGACCUCGUGCUUUUGCGGGAGAAGCAAGAAUCAGGUUAAGGAACUUUUCUUAUUAUGGUUUGGGGCCGCAGUAACCACAGUGAAAGUCAGCACCCAUGUUCUCAUGAGAAUCUUAUUGCCUGUUUGUAUGUUUACUUUCGAACUUCAGAGAGAUAACCGUCUCCAGACUUUAUGGAGAAGCAGUUUUGCUGGCAAGUUUCCUAACCUCCCUGCGAUGGAGAUAUUGCCCAGGUCUAGUGAGAGGUGCGAUCUCAUCCUCUCGAGUGCCAUGCGUGUGCAUCUGUUUUCUCUGUUGCGCAACACCUGUCGGCGGUCGCCGUGACGACACCAUGCCGGUGCUCCGGAGCAUGAACCCUGACUGAACCUGCCUUGUUUUUCUCUGUCACGGCGUCGGGCCGCUUUCUCUUCCCGUCUGGCGGGUGACGUCACUCCCUCACCCGGUGAGACCACAAUUUAUAUGCCGCACAAUCGAUGAGUCACUCCCACAAGAUUCCUAUCAUAUCCAGCCCCCCACUGUUGCUUAUGUAAAAAUGAGAAGUAAAAAGUUGAACUUACUUGUUUUUAUGUUUUACUGACACGAAACGUGUGGGACCAUGUCAGACAGGAAUAUGACUCCUGUCAAGCUUUUGAGACGUAAACAAGUCAGACUACAUGGUAUUGAGGGAUUUUGAAAAUGUCUGUUUUCAGAAAAGGGAUGUUUCUAAGAUGAGGUUUAUUCCAGUUCCUUGACCUCAGUCCCCACUAAUGUCUAUAGGUAAACUGGUCCAAUAUUCCUGAAAUUCUGUGUAUAUGUUGAAAAAAUGAAAUCCUCGUGUUCCUGUGAAUGCUGGAACACAUAAAGGCUCCCCUUCAGCAAUGGGAAGAAAGUGUUGGAGAUGUGUCACAGCUGGGUGUGGGCUCAGCUAUUAGUGUCUGUGUGCACUUUCAGGGCCUGAAAGAAAAAACAGAGUUAAGGUUCUUGUGACUGGUGCAUGAACGUGCUCAUCACCUGACUUCUCCCUGACUGGGGAUAUCCACACCUCUCCCCCACCUCUUUCAGACUGCUUAUCCAAACAGAAGAAGGAUAGCACAGAUUCCUAUAUCUCUACCUGACAGCAGUGAGACAUGGUCAGGCUGCUCUGUGGUUCCUACAUAUCACUCUGCACUGGACUGAAUGGUGUGAAACUUCAGAAUCUUUUCCUGUCUGCUUCAUUGCUUUGGAGUUAAACUGCUCUUUAAAAGCUUCCUUUUAAUGAGUGUCUUGGAGAGCAGUCAAAGUACAGUGCAGGACAGCCACUUAUCUGGGCAGGGUGGGGUGCGGGGGCACUUUUACAUCUGUGCCCAAUCAUUAAUGAAACCAGUCACCAGGUGGCGCUAAACUCCCUGGGGAAAAAGCUAAUGUUUCUGUCCAUCAUUCACUGUUCAUUUCAGACUACUUAUGGUCCACAUCUCAGCAUGUGUAGGCACAGCUGUUAGGGCUGGGCAUGUGUCCCCCAUGUGGUUACCCUCACCUGAGUGCACCAGUGACCUGUUCAUCUGGUCCGUCAUGCGAGCCUUUGUGCACACAAGCAACUUAAGAGAGCAAUCAAAUUAGGAAAUUAGGAAGUGCCGCCUUUACAUACAAAGAGGCGACAUAUUUCCUUCAAUACAAACCGGGUGUAAAAUUUUCACGAAAUUCAAGGUAACGAGACAGUUUGGCCAGAAAUUUGGUUUUUGCAUAAUUUUUGUAUUCCUUUCCCAGGCUGUUAAAAAACUUACCAAGUGCCCUUGUUCCCCUAAAUAUAUAAGAUGAUAAUCAGCCAGGCUGAGCUAAAAGAAGAGUGGAAAGUCUAACUUGUGUUCUUUAACUUUUACAUGCAUUAAUUUUCCUGCAGAUACUUGAAGAGGCUUUGAUUCAUACAAGUGCACUAAGUGCAUAUCAUAAAACAUCACUGGUCGCCAUGAAUAUUGUUUCAUCACAGUGAUAUUUAAAGGCAUCAAUUGAAAAUGCAACUGACCUGGCUAGUAUUAAAUGGGACCCACUGUUUACCUAUGGCGUGUAAUUUUUCUCAAGCACCAGAGACACACCCAGCAAAACGAAAAAAACAAAAAAAAACAGGUUAGCCAGGUGGAUAUCUGACAGACGGAGUUAAUUACGAGGAGUCAGGUGACUCCCAGGUGUGAGCCUUCUGAGUCUUUGAGUCAGACUGUGUCUGUGUGUGUGGGAGAGUGUCUCUGUGGUGUGUUUGCGUAUGUUUGCUUGUUUCUGUGUGUUUGUAUCGGUGUCAUUGAAAUUGUACAUGUGUGCGAUAGUCUAUGUCCCUGUUAAUGCUUCUCUGUCCUGUGAAGAUAAAUUUUGGGAAAAUGCACGUGUAAAGACACCAAAACCGGAAAAGCAGACAUGGUAGCCAUCUCCUCAGACAAUUACCUUUUUUCAGUCUUAUCUGCUUAAAAAAUGAAGUGAAAACCUUUAGGUUAUCGCUUUUCAAUUCGCUUUGACUUUUACUGGUUUGGAUCUGGAAUUAUUAUUAAUUUUCCACAAAGAUGGGAACACAAACACUUGUAUGUAUGUGUGUAAGUGUGUGUUUGUCAGGGUCCCUGGUGUGUGGUUUUGCUGCGUAUGUGUGUAUACACAUCAGUAUAUGUGACCUUCCUCAGUAUGUGUGUUUGUAAGUGUCGGUCUGUGUACAUGGGUCUGCAUGUGUUUAUGCGUUGGUGUUUGUGUGGGUGUGUAUUUAUUUUGAGUUCUCUCAAAAGUCCAGGUUCCCAUGCCUUCCAAGGGCCACUGGGCGCUUCUAGUUUCUGUCUAAAGCCAAAGACUAAUUGGGGCUCUUGCUCCCCCACCCCCCAACCCCCUGCCUCAUUAAUCAAUGAGAGGAGCUGUACCCUCUCUCGCCCUUUCUCUCCACCGGUGCCCUGGGGAGCGGGGGCCCUGCACUCCGGCGACGCAUAGCUUUCCCCUGUGCAUCUGCAUCCUGAUCCCAGGGCACCCGUCCUCCACGGAAACAAAAGCCAUCUUGUCACAUGGUGACCGAGCGCCUGGGGGCCAUUCAGGGAAGGGGAACAAAUGAAAAGCAGCCCUGCAGACAUGCAGGAGAGAAGC